rnacentral:tRNA from 1 species
AGAAAUUUAGGUUAACUAAACCAAUGGCCUUCAAAGCCCUAAAUACGAGCACGCCCUCUUAAUUUCUG